rnacentral:rRNA from 1 species
UCCUACGGGAGGCAGCAGUGGGGAAUAUUGGACAAUGGGCGCAAGCCUGAUCCAGCCAUGCCGCGUGAGUGAUGAAGGCCUUAGGGUUGUAAAGCUCUUUUGGCAGGGACGAUAAUGACUGUACCUGCAGAAUAAGCCCCGGCCAACUUCGUGCCAGCAGCCGCGGUA